AGCCAUAUGGAGGUAUAUAUGGUUAGACCUGCCCAAUGUUUACAUGAAUGGCCGCGGUACUCUGACCGUGCUAAGGUAGCGUAAUCAGUUGGCUUUUAAUUGGAGUCUGGAAUGAAUGGGGCAACCGGGUUUGGCUGUCUCCUUCCCAUUCCUUUGAAGUUACUGUGUAGGUGAAAAAGCCUAUGAUAAGAAAAGGGACGAGAAGACCCUUAGAAUUUUACUAAAUGGUUUUUGAUACUUUUGUUUUGUUGGGGCGACAAAGAAUAGAUAUUUAAACUUUCUAUUUUACGGGCCGACUAUGUUAAGAAAGAAAAAAUUACCUAAGGGAUAACAGCAUAAUUUCUUAAGGAAGUUUGUGACCUCGAUGUUGGACUAGGAAACUAAUAAGCUAGCCGUUUAUUGGGUAAGUUCUGUUCUAACUAUUAAUUCCU
rnacentral:rRNA from 1 species